CCCCCGUUGCCACGGCAGCGCGGCCCCGUCCCCGCGGGAACGCGUGGGGAGCAGCCUUGCUGGAGGGCCCGGGGUGCUGAUCCUGCCCUUCUCCUCAGCCCGGAUCCAGCCUGGGUCCAGUUCUGGGCUCCUCAGUACGAGAGAGACAGGAGCUCCUGGAGCGGGUCCAGCGGAGGGGGACAAAGAUGAUCAAGGAACCGGAACAUCUCUCUUACCAGAACAGGCUGAGGGAGCUGGGCCUGUUCAGCCUCGGGAAGAGACCGCUCCGACGGGACCUCAUCAGUGUUUAUCAGUGUUGAAGGGAGGGUGCCAAAAGGAUGGAGCCAGGUUCUGCUUGGCGGUGCCGAGCAAUAUGACGAGAGGAAUCGGGCAGAGACUGAUGCACGGGAAAUUCCACCUGGACAUGAGGAUGAAUUUCUUUACUGUGCCGAGGCUCGGGGGACAAACCUGUUGAUCACACAAUCCUACAGUAGCCAACCUGUCUAGGGCAGGGUGAAGCUUCAGGUGCCCUCAUUACCCUUUUCAAAUUGAUGUGUUAGGAGUGCUUAGAUAUUUCAGGGGAAAGAGUACAGCAGGAGAGGUAAGUCCUCCUAUAGAUUUUUGUAUAAGUUCUCUGCUGAUAUAAUUUUUGAAGUAUCACAUGUUUUAAAAAUUAUUUGCAUGUCCUACUCAAUAACACGAUGGAGGUUAGUGUAAAACUUAAUUAAAUUAGCAAUCAAUGGGAUUAGGAUGUCAAAAAUUGAAAUAAAACCCCAGGUAGGGGAAUUAUUAUCUUUGCUAUUCUGUAUUAUUAUUUCAUUGUAAACCAGAGGAAUGCUGGAAAUUUUGAAUUACAUGCUGAUUUAUAUCUCGCCAAAGAUAAUCAGAUUAUGUAAAAUACAGAUAAAUGCAAAACUGCUUCUUCAGUUUAUGAUUGGUGGGAAGAACGUUGAUCAGACGUGAAAAAAUCCAUGCAUGUUAUUUACAUAGGAAAGAGACAGAAAUGCUUGUGAAGUUCUGGUGAAAUGAAGAUGGCUCUCAGUGACCUUUUCUUUCUGGAAAUUAUAGUAUGUUCCCUGGGAGGUUUACUUAGCAUGGGUCACUGUGCAAAUAGGCAGGAGCAGGAAAUAGCAGCUCUAACGAAAAGAAUCGCAUGUGACAGGUGAAUUUGCUAACAACAUAAAUCUCAGUAUACCUGUAAUGAAAAUCAUCUCUAAACACUCCUACGUGAUGGGUAGGUCUGAAAAGGUUACGUGGCACUGCUUAGAAAGAUAUAUUUGUUUGCCAUUCUUGGCUUUGGAUGAGCAGGAAUACAGUGCAGCGCUGCAGAGAAAAUGGAAAGUAACACAACCCAAAAAUCUGUUAACAACAAGAAUUUUGCAAGUCAGCUUUCUUUUUCAGUUUAAAUGGUAUCCUAAAUAGCAUGACUCUGCAACAUGCAAAACAGUUAUACUCCUAGAUUAAAAUACUAGAAAAUUUAAGUGUGGAAAGGGUAAUUACUAUUGUGACAGUACAUGGUGCUGCAGCUGUGUUCACAGAUACUGAAACUGGGUGCACUGGCCAGUACAUUGUAUGUUGGAUGCUUGACAAUGCUGUUUCAGCAAGGAUCGGCUUCUAUACUGUUCCUCCUUCAUAUAAAUGAGUAAGUGCAGAGUGGUAGUCUGUCAGGCUGACAAUGCAUUUGACACAGCAAUCUAUGGAUUCAUAUGAAUUGUAAGACCUCUUGGUACUGUAUUUGUGUCUGAAGCAUGUGCUUCAGAAGUUUUGUAAGCCAAGAAAAAAAAAGAAAGCAAUCUGUGCUGACUUGGCCUGCCAAAAAUGGUGAAUCUGGAAGCAAUUACAGAAAAUCAACAGCUGAGUCUGUUAGUUCCUCGGCACCUUGGGUGUGGUGGGAAAAGCUUUGUGAGGGACACAGUUGUAUUUGUGUGAUCUGGCUGAAUGGAAGACACAUGCAGCUGAAUAUGCAGCCUGUGCAUUCAUUGAUUCAGGUUGGGUGACAUGUUUGGAUUGCAGCAAGUUGUCUACAUAGUGUUGCAUUGACUGUUUGCAACUUCUCCUGAAAUUCCAUCCAUGCUAGUGAAGGAGGCUUCUGAAAUCAAGAAAUGAGGGCGUAGAAAUGUUGGUUGGAUGGCACGCUGAAGAUCACCCCACUCGAAGCUGGACGGCCAAAACUGUUAGGUCAGCUGUGCCUUUAUCCAGCCAAGUUGUGAAAACUCUCCAAGGCAGGAACUGUCAACCGCUUCCCUGGAGCAUCUGAUGGGGUCUUUUCCCUGAAUUGUGCCCACUUCUGCUGGCAACCCAGUCCUGGCCCUCUCUCUGUCACUAGCAUGGAGUAUCAGUGCUGAAGGUCCCAGGCAAGAGCAGCUCCUCCGUGUGGAAAAGUGCCUGUGGGAGGCCAUGGCCAUGGCCCACUGUCCCCUCUCCUACUCUUUGCUCCCUCACCAAGCCAAAUAACAAAGCAGUUGUUCCUGACAAGCAGAUGGGGAUGAAUUGGCAAGGAGCCCGGAUUCCUUAUAACUUAAUCUCUGUCUACUCAGCUUUCUUACAGAACUGGGAGAAGGAAUGGACACGUGUAACUCCUGCAGAAGCUACAGGAGGGGGAUGUAGGCCAAAAUCCACCCAGAUGGAAUAUGAGAUGUCUUCCCUCUUCCCCAGUUGCCCACUGUUUUUAAUAAAAUGCUGAGUGAAGGGGUAAGCAUUAGCUGGCAGUGAGUAAUUGGCAGGUACAGAGAUUAUACUACCUGCUGUCAAGCCAAGGCUGAAGUCACGAACAGAAUCAUGCAAGUAUAUUAGAUAUUCCUGAUAUGUCCAGAAAGUUUUCCAGCAAAGGCAAUAGUUUCCAUUUUACAUGCCUGAUAAGAUUCAAUCCUCCCCUGACAAGAAUGGAGAGCUCCCAAUAAACCCAUCCUAGGUAAUGAGUGAGAACAACUGCAAAAGGAGUCAGGCUUUGAGCUCAGGGGUUUUACCCAUGUUGGCUCCACUGGAAGCCUGGUUUCUCCCAGAAAGGAGCGAUAUAUUUUGGUCAGGAGUUGAUUCAGGAAUUAAGGGGAGGACGGCACAGGGGCACUGAGGGCUGGCAGGAACAUGGAAGAAGCUGGCUCCAUUUCUGGGACCGCAUGGUUUUCCUGUGUGUAGCAGGAAACCUGUGGUAUAAUCGUCCGUGUGUCCCAGGGCUGAGAGCAGAGGGCUCCUAACAAAGUGAAGAUCAGGUGCUGGUGCUGCAGGCAGACGGCAAAGGCCCAGCCACAGAGGGCACCCACCGUGGCUUGCUACUGCUAGUCAUGGCUAUAUUUAGAAGCUUUGGUUAAUGAAGUAAAAGAUAUAUGAGGAAAUAGCUGCUACUUCUGUGCAUAGUAAUGGUGCUUGGUGGCAGUCCCGAGGCCAAGAAGCCGUGCCUGAGGCUAUCAUGUUCUCUCGGUGAGCGCUGUGUCACGGCUCUUCCCUGCUCCAGCGCUGCUCUCCUCCGCAGCCUCAGCAGCCCCAGCAGAAGGAGAAGGCUUCACCAGCCAGCGAGCCACCACCCUGCCUUAACCUCUGCUCAGAGCGGAGCAGCCGUGCGUGUCCACCCCACACUACCAAACAAAAAGGCUGCCAACCCACUCCGGACCUUGGGUUGGCCCCUGAAGUGGCUGCUGAACGCUCCCUCGCUGCCAGUUGAUAAGCUUUGGUGCUUUGCAAUUCCCCUUUCCAAUUACUGGCCCUGCUCCCAGCGCUGGCUGGGCCUGGUGUGUGCAAACAGCCAGGCAGCGACGCAGGGACUGCGGGGCUUAGGGUGGAAAGACAUGGGAGAAACAGUGAACCAGAGCAGGGACUUGUAUCAAUCACUGGGAGGGCAUCAUCUCACAGCUGCUUUUUGUAGAAACCCUUGGAGGUGCCUGCUUGACUGAAGAUGGAGUCAUCUGGAUGAGCCAUGCAGAAGCAGCCCUUGUAAGUGUGGGAGCAGGGACUCGGUGAGCAUCCAGGUAAGGGAUGUCGUGGCAUGUGGAUGUUGAGGCCAGGUGACAUGUAAAUAUUUUUCUGAAGUGGCUUGGGUAUAAUUUAUUAUUUUUGGGGGCAUGAAAACAGAGAGGGUGAGCCCUGCUACCCUUUUUUCUUUACCUGCAUUGCCAUAUUGCUAAAAGAAGCUUGAGGGAAUUGUCCAUAUAAAUCUAAAAAUUCAGCUGUUAAAUACCAACACUGUUAUUGUAGGUAUUGUGGGUUUGAUAUUUCCCCUUAUCAUAGGCACAUUAUAAUUUCUAUAACAUCCAUGUAAAGUGACCUGAAGCUCCAGAGCUGACCUUCUGUGACUGUGAGUCAAUAAAGAGUGGUCCUGCAGUCAUCAGCUAUCUGCUGGCUCACUUCACAGAGACACCAACAUGAAAGAGUGUGCCCAGUGAGGAUGUCUGGUGGAAAUUCCAGCUGGUUUAAGACUGGAACCCUCCUCCCAUCUCCUCCUGAAGCAGAUAGAGCCAUGCUGUGUGCCAGACAUCCCUAUGGCAUAUUUUGUACCUGAGACUGCUUUGCAAAUAGGACAAGUCAUGGUGGAGCUCGUGCAGCCAGAGUCACUCACAAGAGAUGGACAAGCAACCUGUGGAAUGCAGAGGGCAAAAGUGGGGAGUUAGCAUCUUCAUUUCCUCACUUCCCCAAAUUCCCUUUUCCUGGAAGCUGGGCUCCUCACUCAGGCUGACACUGAGGUUUUAUUGGUGUGAGACUGCAAUCCAGCUCAGACUGCCACUGCAGGGACUGCUCUUCACAAUUAGCUGAGAAGACAGGUCUCUAGAGGGACAAAGGGCUUCUCACCAGGAGAAAGAACUCUCAAAGUGUCAGCUCAAAAGCAAAUCCUAUCUAAAUUGAGAACAAAGAGACUGCUGAGACUACUGGAUGGGUUAUGAUUUUUAAUACUCUAAAGAGUUACCUUUCUGAAAAGAUUUUUAUUAAAAAAAAUAAAAACAUGAGUGUGAGCAAAUCAUGAAGAUCCAGUCUUGGCCUAGAAAGAAAAGAGGUAACAUGCAUGGCCUAGCAACUAUCCUAAAACCCCUGUGGCAAGCAAUAAUCUUGAAAAAGCCAGUGCAAGCUAUGUUUUCAAUUUAUAAAUUAAAUGUGUUUAAAAUUUAUGAACUUUGACUGCACGAGUAACUACUUCAUUAGACUUUAGGGCUGCAUGUUUCCUUGACUUUUUUCACGGUAAAGUAAAACACAUUUCUAAUAAACAUGGAAAGAGAUUCCAAGCUAGAGUCACUACUUUUAUGUAAAGGACCCUCCAGACUCAUUAAAAAAGUUUACCACCUAAAUAAAGCAAGCACAUUGUAAUUCUUUAACUCAUAAAGUUGGUAAUAUACACAGAAUAUUAGCCUACUCUUACAUGUACACCGCUCGGCAUCGAUGAAUGACAUACAGUAAGGGGUUUACUGUGAGGAAAUUAGCAUAUAAAACUAUGUUUUGGUAAGUCUUAGACUGAAAGACAAACUGGAGGAACAAGAAGACGUAAGUUGGGCUCUGCUCUGAUUUGCUGAGUAAGCAUGGGAAGUUACAUACAGGUACUGAGCUAAAGCUGUAGCUGUAACCAAAAUCACUCUGUUUCUCCUAGUUUGUAUCAACUGUUUAGUUCCCUUUGACAGUCAGCAGUGGAAAUGGGGAUGGGGGUCUAUCCACCAUGCAUUGGCCCACAACACGAGGCUGUGGCCCAAACAUCUGACACCAUGCACUUCCCUUUCCCAGCACUGAUGCAUCCACAGCUAGAGUGGAGUUUUGGGACUUCUGCCUCAAGGGGAAGGUGAAAUAAACUGGAAAGGUCCUGCUAAGGGCUGCAACCAUGGUCCAGUGUCUGGAGUGCAGAUGCAGCAAGAGAGAGGUGGAAGGAGCUGAGCUUGUUUUUCCCAGUGAAGGGAAACCCAAAGCAGGUCUACUUGAAGAGCAGGUACAAAAAGGACAAAUCCAAACCCUUCUUGGUCACAUCAGAGGACUUGACAAGGGACAACAGGCACACGUGGAAGAUGGAGAUGUUCAGCCUAGCCUUUUCCAUCAAAUGCUCCAGAGAGGUGAUGGUGGCUCCUUGGAUGCUUGGAGGCUUUUUAUGACUUAGCUAGAUAAGGCUAAUUUAAUGGUAUGUCAGUUGUGAUAGUCCUGUUCUGACAGAAAGUUAGACUAGGUGAGCUCCAGCAGUCUCAUGCAACCAGCAUUUCUGUGAUUCUGUGGGUUUUUUUCCCAGAGCAACAGAGAAGCAUGUCCCAAACCAUCAGCCAGCUCACCUGGUCAGAAGGAGAGGGCAGCUCUGCCGGAUGCCAUCUCCUGAGAGCUGGUCUCAGCCUGGCACUUACAAGUGUACAUCAGUGUAGCUGGGGUUCAGAAUCAAGACUGCAAACAAACCUGUCAGCCUCAGCUAGCCAGUGUCUUAAAGUCACUGAUAUCUGACUUCCAUGUGGUUGUGCCUUGCAGUAGUCACACCUCAAUAUAUUUGUGCAUGUCAAAGUAGCACACUGACAGAAUCUUGGGUCUUCAAAAUUCAUCUUUCAGCAAGAAGUCACAAUAUUUUCAAGUCCAGUGAUGAAAAAUCCCUCAUCAACUUUUACUCUGCUUUAGCAGACACUUUGGUCCGUAUGUGAAGCCUUGUAUGUGUAAUUUGUAUUCAGUUCUUCUCCUGCAUUGGAAUUAGUCAAAUGAGAAUCACAGGCUUAGCUUUUUCUGGUUAAAACUCUCCUCUGCAGAAACCCUCUCCUGGCUGUCCUUAGGAAAGUGUCCCCAACCCUUCCAUGGUCUCAAAGCUGGCACAGACAGUUCUCUCCCUACCUUACAGCUUCUUUCCUUUUAGGCUACAGAGCUGCUGAAAAUAACAUUGGAAAUCUCACUUCACAGUUUCUUGCAUGAUAGCAAGCAACAGAAACCACCCAAAAGAGCACCUUUUCCUGAGCCUACUCUCAUGUUUGCAAAAAGGGUGGGGCUGCUGAGCAAACAGACCUGUUCCCUCUCUGAUUACUUUGAUACUAAGACCAUAUGGGCCUCCGAGCUGGUACCCACUCCCUGGAGCUUUUGUUUGUGGAUAUUGCUUGUUCCUCUGGAAAAAAAAAAACCCAACAAAAACAAUCUAAAAACAAACCCCAAUGAUUUUACUAAGUGAAACAAGCAGGUACGGUAGUGCUGCAUAUGGUGCUAGUAAAAUUGUAAUAGUAAAAGUUGGCAAGAGUCAAGCAGCCUUUGUAUUAAUUCUCUGGAGCUUCAGGUAGAGCCUAAUGUAAUUACUUGCUUUACUUUGUAGCAUUUUAAGAGAGAAGUGUGUGUUUUAAAAAGUUAUAUUUCCAAAUAAAGUGGUCAGGUCUGGAGAAGAAAAAGUGCCUGAUUCUGGUCUCUCUGAAUUCAAUAGCGAAACUCCCGUUGACUUAAAUCAGAGCAGGAUUAUGUCCCAAAUCUAAGAAAUAACAGCAAACAGACUGUGCUGGUUUUUAAUGCACUGUCCAGGCUACCAGUUUAUAACUUUUUCCUAUUUUUCAUUCACUUAAGUUGCAGAAGGUUUGUCUGUCCUCAGCUCCACUGUCUGCAUCUGAAUAUUAGAACUGAGUUGGGUUUUUUUCCCAUGAAGACAGCUAUUUUGCAGACAUCUAUUGCAGACUAUGCAGACUGCUAUUUUGCAGUGUAAGUGGGUGAGUCCAGAAAUCCUGAAUCUCACCCACACAAACACAGUGAUUUCAUUCAAGAAACAACUGAGUCAUGCUUUUCAUAGACUUACAGAAUAUCCUGAGUUGGACAGGAUGCACAAGGAUCAUGGACUCCAACUCCUGACCCUGCACAGGACAACCCCAAGAAUCACACCCUGUGUAUGAGAGCAUUGUCCAAAUGCUUCUUGGACUCUGUCAGGCUGAUGCUGUGACCUCUUCCCUAGAGAGCCCAUUCUGAUGUUCAGCGACUCUCUGAGUGAAAAAUCUUCCUAAAACCCAACCUAAACCUACUCUGACACAGCUUCAUUCCAUUCCCUUGAGUUCUGUUGCUGGUCAUUGGUGGGAAGGGAUCAGUGGCUGCCCCUCUUCUUCCCCUUAUGAGGAAGUUGUAGACCACAGAAAUGUCAAUUAUUUCAAAAUUCCCCAAUUUGUCAAAGUGCCACAAAUUUAACUUUCCUAGGUAGAUUCAAAAGCCCUAAAUAUUGAAGUCACUGACAUUAUUCCAAGAAGAAUAAAGUGUUUGAGUGCUUGCUAGAAGGGGAUUUUGAUUUUUUCUGACUUUAUUUUUGUGAUCAAUUGAGGGAUUAACUAGGAUUAACUUUCCUGUUGAUAGCAAGCCCGUGAUCUUUAGAACCUGCCUCUCAUUAAUUGAACUCUGUCAAUCUAUGUCAUUUGCAAACUCUCAUCAAAAGUUAGGCAAGGCUGGAAUAAGUCUCACCAGCAGCCUAACUCAAGCUGCAAUUGAUAAUAUUAAUAAAGACUGACCAUUUGA